GCCAGCGGGAGGAUGAAACAACCUUAAGAAGAAAUUAGAGAAAAGAUUGUUCCAUGACAACACCAAGGUCCAGCUCAUGGUCUCCAAAGUCUUGCUAGACUCAAUUGGAUUUACAUGCAUCCAACUGAGACCAGAUCUAGGACUCCAUCUUUUCUGAUGAUCAGGAGACAAAACUGAGAGGAUGGGGAAGCCAACGCCUGCAAAGCGUGCAGCGUCCAGAAGACAUCUAGCAUUCAGAAAGCGUAAAGCAAGAGCAA